GCCUAGUUAGCUUGGAAGGUAGUCUGCCUGUCUUGUAAACGCUAGGUCGCAGGUUCGAAUCCUGCACCGGGCA
rnacentral:tRNA from 1 species